rnacentral:rRNA from 1 species
GACGAACGCUGGCGGCGUGCUUAACACAUGCAAGUCGAACGGAAAGGCCUGCUUUCCCUUGUGGAUUGCGGGUACUCGAGUGGCGAACGGGUGAGUAACACGUGAGUGAUCUGCCCCCAACUUGGGUAUAAGCCUGGGAAACUGGGUCUAAUUCCCGAUAGGACUGCAGGGUGGUGCCUGUGGUGGAAAACGAUUUUCUAGUGGUUGGGGAUGAGCUCGCGGCCUAUCAGCUUGUUGGUGGGGUAAUGGCCUACCAAGGCGGCGACGGGUAGCCGGCCUGAGAGGGUGGACGGCCACAUUGGGACUGAGAUACGGCCCAGACUCUUACGGGAGGCAGCAGUGGGGAAUAUUGCACAAUGGGCGGAAGCCUGAUGCAGCGACGCCGCGUGGGGGAUGACGGCCUUCGGGUUGUAAACUCCUUUCGACCGCGAGGAAGCCACCUGGUUGGAAGGGUGGUGACGGUAGUGGUAGAAGAAGCACCGGCUAACUACGUG